AAGUCAUUAUUUUGUUUUAGUACAUUGAUGGAUCUUGAGAGAGGAAAUGUCAUUGCUGGCUAUGCUGGCCUCACUGAGCCAUCGGAUUUCAACAAAAAUAUCUUAAUUUGUGUACCGAAGAUUAACGAAGGUCUUACGGGUGUGGAACGGCAUGAGGCCGGCUCUGCUCCUAUGGGAACGGUGACCUUGCUUCCUGCUCUCUGAUUGGCUGGAAUCUCAUCUGCGCGGGCUCAGCUGUCAGACUGGUUGAAUGCCCGGCGGGAACCGCUAUACGUCACAGUAAUGAGGCGCUGUUGCACGGCAUCGGAUAGUUCUGCCAUUGUGCACGCGCGCCCUCUUCUGGUCAUAGUAGGGAUCUGACGUGUCUUGGGACUCAGUCGUGGCCCUUAUAUAAAGAGGUCUGCUGGAGUGUAGGCAUUGAUCACAUCGGUCAGCUGUGCUCGAAGACUUCUCGUCUCUACCUGAGCGGACAUGGAGCCUAUCAGCCACACAGUGAGCGCAAGCGUCCCAGACUCGGUUUAUCCCCGCAGGACGAUGCGUGUGGCCACGAGAGGAGCCUCCUCUCAUUUUGUCGGGAGCACCAUUGUGAUUCUGUCCUCGUACGCUGUGGCAACGUUGGCCAUGAACUGCGGCAAAAAGAUCCAGGAGGAGCGAUUGAAACCAUCUGAAAACUGAUGCCGAGUGCCUCAUCAAAUGCUGCUGUUAUUUGAUAAGGACGUGCACCUUGGAGAGACUUUCUUCAAUAAAAAGUUUGCCACAAUUUCAACAUGGCAUUGUACAAAACGUUCUUGUCCUCAAGGUCUCGGCUUGAUAAAUCUAUGAAACUUUGUUGUGAAGUUUUUCACUGUGAUUCUGCUGAAUCACGAAGCCAAGAACAGAGAAACGGACACAAUUAUCUACACAUAUGAGCUCGUUAGCUCAUCUUAAGAAUCUGGACCAAAUCAACCAAAAUGAGGCCUAGGGGACCAGAUUUUACAGGCCUUUUUACUUAAAUGUUAUUCAUUGUUUGAAUUUAAAGAUAAAG